rnacentral:ncRNA from 1 species
GGCCUGAUAAGACGCGACAGCGUCGCAUCAGGCAUUGAUUGCCGGAUGCGGCGUAAACGCCUUAUCCGGCC